ensembl:lncRNA novel transcript, antisense to CCNI
UUUUUUUUUUUUUUUUUUUUUUUUUCAGUCUAUUCCCCCUGUCUGGAAGGCCCUUCAUCCUACUCUCUUGGCCUCUUCUAAUUUUUUUCAGUGGAGUCCAAAGUACUCAUAAACACAUUCAUUAAAAAUGUAAGAAGCCAAAGGGCAAAAAAAAAAUUUUUUUUAAUCAGGGAUGAGGAGGGAAGCUAAGAAUUUUAAAAUAGUAAAUGAAAAAUUUAGAAAUAUGUAUUUUGUAGAAAAUAGUAGACUUAGCACUAAGAUGAAAUGUUUUUGGUAAAGUUUUUAAUUUGGGAGUUUUGCUGAUUCCUUCUUACCCUUCAGGACAAUUCACAGAUAUCAAUCCUUUCUGGAGUUACCCCUGACUCCCUCAACACCCCAAAACUCUAAAUGCCACGGUCAUCUGUUUCUAUAUCAACCUUUUAACAUAUUUAUGGCCAGGCGUGGUGGCUCAUGCCUGUAAUCCUAGCACUUUGGGAGGCCAAGGCAGGUGGAUCGCUUGAAGCCAGAAGUUCAGACCAGCCUGGCCAACAUGGCGAAACCCCUUCUCUACUAAAAAUACAAAACAUUAGCAGGACAUGGUGGCAGAUGCCUGUAAUCCCAGCUACUCAGGAGGCUGAGGCAUGAGAAUAGCUUGAGCCCAGGAGGUGGAGGUUGCAGUGAGGUGAGAUCAAACCACUGCAUUCCAGCCAGGCCAACAGACAGAGCAAGACUCUGUCUUAAAAAAAAAAAAAAAAGACACUAAAACCUUUCAACGUAUUUACCACAUUUCAGUAUAAUAAUCUAUUUAACCAUUUAGCCUUUCCAUUAUAGACUACAAGACCAAAGGUGUGGCAUUGUAUUAUAUUCAUCUUUUUAUCCCUAAGUUUCUGGCACAAUGACUGUACAUGGAAGGCCUUUAAAUUAUUACCUGUAGUAAAGUGUCUCUCUUCCUCACUUUCAAUUACAGCAUUGUCAAAAUAACCUUAGUUAGCAUCAUAUAUUCCUUCCCUGCUCUCUCCAGCGGCACCCCAAUGCCUACCAGAAAUAAGCUAAACUGCUUAGUUUAGUAUUAAUAAGAAUCUCCAUAAUCUGAUCUCAACCUUCUUUUCUAGCCUUAUUUCCUAGCAUACCCUCAACUUGUGGUCUACACUCUUGCUCAACAGUCCUGCUCUAUAUGAUGCACUAAUCUUCCCCUUUCUUAUUUUACCCUUAAUCAUCUUAUUUCUACCUGUUGAAAUUGUAUUGCGCAUUCCUUCCAGGACUGGCUAAACACCAUCACCUUCAGGAAGCCUAUCUUGACCAUUUAACUAUCAGGGAUCACUUUUUUCCAGUUUUGAGUAUUCUGGACAUUUCUGUACCAAGUCUUACUUAUCCUCAUAUAACCUGCAGCACUCACCAUGACUGUUUGCAAUACCACAGAGAAAAUAGGGGAAAAUAACGCACUCUACAAGAACACAUUUGGUCACAAAAUUAUUUUUAUCUCUAAAUACAUUCACUAUUUGUUACUGAAAAAUACCAGAGGAAAGAAUGGUAAAAGGCUGAUGUUAGUCAUUGUAUAAUACAAAUGCAAAGUAACUGAAACUGUCAGAAAUAUACAAGAAAAUGGCAGAUUUUAGCAUCUACCAUAAUGUUCACUGAUUUUUUUCCCCUAGUUUGAAAGGCAUUAGAUAACACACUGUGGGUAAGACACUAUUAACUAGUAUUAGAAUUUGUUCUCCCUCCCUUAAAAGAAAAAAAGUUAACAUAACACUUAAGAUAGUCCCUGAACUAUCAAGCUUACAUUUAGGCUAGGUCUUAUUAUAUAUCCCAGGGAUGUAGAACAAGCUGAAACAUGCUAAAAACAUUGGAACAAAGCACAGAGAAAGGAUGGAGCUUCUGCCAAUAUUUUAGGAAGCCUAAAAAAAAAAAAA